GUAGGUGGCAAGCGUUGUCCGGAAUUAUUGGGGCGUAAAGCGCGCGCAGGGCGGUCCUUUAAGUCUGAUGUGAAAGCCCGCGGCUCAACCGUGGAGGGUCAUUGGAAACUGGGGGACUUGAGUACAGAAGAGGAAAGCGGAAUUCCAAGUGUAGCGGUGAAAUGCGUAGAGAUUUGGAGGAACACCAGUGGCGAAGGCGGCUUUCUGGUCUGUAACUGACGCUGAGGCGCGAAAGCGUGGGGAGCAAACAGGAUUAGAUACCCUGGUAGUCCACGCCGUAAACGAUGAGUGCUAAGUGUUAGGGGGUUUCCGCCCCUUAGUGCUGCAGCUAACGCAUUAAGCACUCCGCCUGGGGAGUACGGCCGCAAGGCUG
rnacentral:rRNA from 1 species